AUGUUCUUUUCCAAAUAUCUGAGGAAGCAUAUCUUCCAAGAAUACACUCUUUUUCUUGACAUAGAAGGUUUUCCUAUAAGCUAUGAGAAUUACUUAAAUUCAUUCAAAGUGAGGGGUGAGAUUGGAGAUGAAGUGAUGAACUCAUUUAUUCAAGUUCUUAACUAUCAAUCAAAACUGUCAUCUGAAGUAAAGCCUUGUAUCAAGAAGUACUGUUUCACUUCAUACUUCACUGAUAAAUUGUUGGUUCCCCCUGAGUUAUUUGAUCCAGUUACGUGCAUACGAGAAUUUGACAGGAUCAAUGCAGAAGAAAGCCUCUGGAAACCAGACCUGUUAUAUUUCCCUACUAUAAAAUCAAACCACUGGGUUAUACUUUCCAUCAACUCUCUCUUCGAGAGAUCUCACUUUUUUUAUCCCUGUGGCACUAUUACGGGAACUACCCAAGAAGAACUUCUCUACAACUUGCUUUCCAACUACAACAUGCUCUGCAAGCUGAGUAAAAAGCCAUUCAAUAAUGUAUUCUCUUUCAAGCUUCAACCCGUAGGUCCUUACCCAACAAACUCUCUCAUGCAUGACUCAGGCCACUAUCUGCCUUUGUACAUGGAAAAUUUUGAAGGCAAAGCUAUGAAGAGUUUCAGCGUGGCCAACAUUCCGAAGUACAGAAUGAUCUCUGCGUUCAAGUUAUUCAAAAGCAUUUUGAACAAGCUGAAAGAAGAAGAUCUGCCAAUACCAAAUUGA
rnacentral:rRNA from 1 species